rnacentral:lncRNA from 1 species
CCGCGCGCGGCCCACCCUGUUCCCGGGAUUUCGGGGAUGACACGGGGGCCAGUGGCCCUGUCUGGUGUGAACCGUCAGCACAGAUGGCCUCCUGGAGCUUCCCCGAGUCGUUCGCUGGGGGAAGCGGGCGGUGAGCGGCCGGCCCGGGCGCUCCGCAGGCCGCGAGCUCCUGGCAGGGCUGGUGGCGGGGGUCCGCCUGGGGGAGGAAUCCCCGCCUGCUCCAUCGGACCCGGCCUGGCGCGGCUCGCGGCGCUCGGCGGGCUCCCUUCCAUUCUAGAAUCUUCCCGCUUGCUUCCCAGCCCGCGUUCUUCCGCCUGCCUUUAAUUGUGUGUGGACGUGGGGAGGAUCUUCUAAGUCCCUCCAACGAAGGCAAGUGUGAGACUCUGGCCCUUUAUUUGUAAGAAGCAAGCCUUCAGAUUGCAGAAGUGUCGCGCGGGUCGCCAUGCGUUGCGCGAGUGGGAAGAUGGAGGAGGCCGGCACGCUGCUUUCGUGGACGCAAGUGAACCGGCCGUGAAGGCAGGGUGCGAGCUCUGCCCUUGGCCCAGCCCUGCGUGGGCGCCGUCCCAGAUUCCGGGCGGUGCGGGGUGCAGAGAUCUGGAGAGAGUUGCGGGGUGCAGAGAUCUGGAGAGACUUGCGGGCUCCCCAGCGCAGGCUGCUCUGGGAUUUCGUUGGAAGAUCCGGCAGAGCCUUGGAGGAGAGGGCCCGGGAGGCUGUGUGUGCAGCGGAAACUUGUACGAAUGCCCCCACAGCGGAAAUGGUGCGCACGAGUAAUUUCUGCGGUGCACCCUUUUAAAAAUUGACAAGUGAACAAGAUCAAUUUUUUAAGAAAGCAAAGGUAGAAAACAAAAGGCGUGCGACUUCUUGACUGGCUUGUUCCCGCCUUUCUUCCUUCUCUAUACUCAGAUCAGAAACUUUAAUUGCUCUUAUUCAGUGCGACAACUUUUAAUAAAAGCAUUUGCAUUUUAAGCCUGAGUUGCAACCAUAGAUUUGUUGCGAAGUGACAACGUGUCUAUGGAAUAUUUUCGCAGAUGAGACAGGACAUGCGCUCUAGUCGUGCCCAGAUUAAAGGGACGCUGGUCCAUGUGCCUGUGUAGUGCAGACUCGGAGGGGCACACACAUACUCGUCAUCACAUGACCACUGUCUAUUAAUAUUGUCAUACCUAAACACUCGCAAAAACAAAAGUUGCUUUUC